rnacentral:rRNA from 1 species
AGCAGCCGCGGUAAUUCCAGCUCCAAUAGCGUAUAUUAAAGUUGUUGCAGUUAAAAAGCUCGUAGUUGAAUUUCGGGGUCAGCAAGUUGGUCGUGCCACUGGUAUGCACUGGCUUUGCUGAUUCCUCCUUCUUGUAGAACCGUAAUGCCAUUUAGUUGGUGUUGCGGGGAAACAGGACUGUUACUUUGAAAAAAUUAGAGUGUUUAAAGCAGGCUAACGCCUGAAUACAUUAGCAUGGAAUAAUGAAAUAGGACGAGCGAUCCUAUUUUGUUGGUUUCUAGGAUUGACGUAAUGAUUAAUAGGGAUAGUUGGGGGCAUUAGUAUUCAAUUGUCAGAGGUGAAAUUCUUGGAUUUAUUGAAGACUGACUACUGCGAAAGCAUUUGCCAAGGAUGUUUUCAUUAAUCAAGAACGAAAGUUAGGGGAUCGAAGACGAUCAGAUACCGUCGUAGUCUUAACCAUAAACUAUGCCGACUAGGGAUCGGAUGAUGUUAAUUUUUAAUGA